rnacentral:rRNA from 1 species
UGACCGCUGGCGGCGUGCCUAAUACAUGCAAGUCGAGCGAACAGACGAGGAGCUUGCUCCUCUGACGUUAGCGGCGGACGGGUGAGUAACACGUGGAUAACCUACCUAUAAGACUGGGAUAACUUCGGGAAACCGGAGCUAAUACCGGAUAAUAUAUUGAACCGCAUGGUUCACUAGUGAAAGACGGUUUUGCUGUCACUUAUAGAUGGAUCCGCGCCGCAUUAGCUAGUUGGUAAGGUAACGGCUUACCAAGGCAACGAUGCGUAGCCGACCUGAGAGGGUGAUCGGCCACACUGGAACUGAGACACGGUCCAGACUCCUACGGGAGGCAGCAGUAGGGAAUCUUCCGCAAUGGGCGAAAGCCUGACGGAGCAACGCCGCGUGAGUGAUGAAGGUCUUCGGAUCGUAAAACUCUGUUAUUAGGGAAGAACAAAUGUGUAAGUAACUAUGCACGUCUUGACGGUACCUAAUCAGAAAGCCACGGCUAACUACGUG